rnacentral:lncRNA from 1 species
ACUUAAACUAUUGAGAAUGGAGGAUCCCAGGACAACAUUUAAAAUGACAGCUAAUGUCUGUGGAAACCCUGGGCGUUUAGGAGUGGCCUAAAGCUAGAGUUCUCUUUGAUUACGGGCACCACUUUCAGAUAAAAACAUAGACCUGAAUGGCAUCAUCCAGUAUCCAAGGAAACCAUAAACCCACUACUCCUCUCAGUGUCAGAGGACCUCCUUGGAGUUGGAGGAGGGUGUCUGUGUCAGUAACUGUGUGUGUUACUGGAAUAUUCACUGGGCAGCAAACAUCCAUAGAGUUUUUAAUUGCGUCUGAGUCUCUCUGAAAUAGGAUCUCAAGAGCCACACCCACAGCAUGUGGAAGUUCCCAGCUGUGGCCGCUGGCCACAGCAAUACAGAAUCCAAGCUGCGUUUGUGACCUCCGCUACAGCUCAUUGCAAUGCCGGAUCCUUAACCCACUGAGCAAGGCCAGGGAUCAAACCUGUGUCCUCAUGGAUACUAGUCAGGUUUGUUACUGCUGAGCCUUGAGGGGAACUCCCAGGUGGAGUCUUGAUCAACUUUUUUCAAAUUUUCCUAAGAUAGAUAUAUUUUAAAUUUAACAGGUCAUUUAUUAUUCAUCAGGUCCUGAGACUUUCUCUUAUUUUUUUUAUGGUGACCAUUUGUUUACUACUACUCAUUUUGACAUUUUAUUAAUUUUGAUUUUUGAAUAAAAACUUAUUUGUCUGCUAAGUCCUUUAAAACUAUUUAAGAAAACACACAGGACUAGGUCAAUAGUAUAGCUGACUUAGAAUAUUUCUCUCUUAUUUUCCAGUAAUUUGUGCCGACUGGGGGGUCUGGAUAUUUAUAUGGCCGUGAUUUUUUCUGCGUCCUAUUAUAUCUGUGUAUAUCUGAGAAAAGUAUUACUUACUCUUAUUUAUUUCUUUAAAAUGUAUUUAUUAGAAGGACUCUUAGGGUUAUAUAACAUUUCACAUGUUCUGUACUUUUCCUACAACCUUAAGAUUGUACUAUGUUAGUCUGAUUCUAUAAUACUAUUAAAUAUUACAAGUAUUUUUUCUGGAGAGGAAUAGGGAUUAACAGGAAGCAGUGGCUUUUUCAUAGAUUUGGGAAGCUCUGAAAUGUUAUUUUUUCUAGGUAGCCUAAAUAUCCUUGAAACAUUAGUUUUGGAAUAAGAGUUGCAUAAGCACCAAUAUAAUCCCUCCAGUUUAUAAAGAUAGAGGCAUUGCCACCACAUGACUUCCUAGCCCUGCAUCUACUUGAACAAAAUUGAGCUGAAUGUACUCAGGCUCCCACCUGUAGCCAUGCUUAUCAGUUUCUGGACCAAAUCCAACAAUAGGAAGCAUAGUUCGAGCCUUUCACUUUUUUUCUCUCAGUGGGUACAUCAUCUGGUGGUCCAACUGCAGGUGUUAGGCUUACUGCUCAUUCUCACCUUGAAUCUCUGUAGUCCACUGGAUCUGGGGGACCAUGACUCUGAGCCUAGCCCCAGGCACUUCUGUGGCCUCACAGUCACAGAAAUUAUCCCUUUUCUCUUUUUACAGGACAAGGCCUCUGCUAGGUCUCCUUGGCUCUUUGGAUGCUGUCUCUGUUUUCACACUCUGGUAUCUAACAGAUGUGAUCAGAUCUGAAGGCGACCACUACUCGCCUGAUUUCUAGGUUUUCAGAUAGUUGCUCCUUCCUCUGCCUGAGUUGAUACCAUAUUACCUACAGCUGCAUGUGACUUCUUCACUGUGCCCUUUGAAUGUUGUACCUGUCUAUCUCACUGACCUUUGGUGACAGCCUUGGACAGGGCCCACUCUGUGCUUAUGAUUCCUAAAUGUGAGAACAACUGACCCGGCAUUGCUAAACAUCCAUGAUGCCUCACACCUGUGACUGGGAAGUGCCGCAGACAUAGUGUCUCUGAUUAUGCCAUAGUGAGGGGCUCACUCUCUUUCUUAUAUGCUAUUUAACAAUUCGUAGUUCCAAAAAGCUUCUUCAUAACUUACAAGACAAUUACUAUAAGGAGCAGAACAAAGGCAAAUAAGAGAGAAGGGGUGGGAGAGUUCCCGCUGUGGCUCAGAGGUAGCAAACCUGGCUAGUAUCCAUGAGAACGUGGGUUUGAUCCCUGGCCAUGCUCAGUGAGUUAAGGAUCCAUCGUUACUGUGAGCUGUGGUGUAGGUCACAGAUGCAGCUUCAAUCUCAUGCUGCUGUGGCUGUGGUGUAGGCCAGCAGCUAUAGCUCCAAUUCAGCCCCUAGCCUGGGAACUUCUGUAUGCUGUGGGUGUGUCCCUAAAAAAAAAAAAAAAAAAAAAAAAAA